rnacentral:snoRNA from 1 species
AGUGCGCCUCGCACACCGAGGGGGUUUCUUGAGCUAAGUUGGCUACAGUANUGCGCCAGAUUAAACGAGCGAACCUAUGGUGUCAUGCAAUAUGCUCUGAGCCAAUUUCCUAUNACUCCAAACAGUCUUU